GAGGCAAUUGGUCAAUGGCAGGGUCCCUCGUGUGCCACAGAACUCUGGGGACCAUCAGAGCAGCAGCUCCACCAUGCAGAACAUCCAGGCUUCUCCACAGAAAAGUAGUCAGCCACAGGCCUCCUUGACAGUCCAGAACAAGCCCAGUGUGACCCUGCUGCAGCCCAGUGAGGGACACAUCCCGAGGGGCCAUGAUGUUCAGCUUCCUGUAGUGACCAGGACACAGGAUGCGUCAGGCCCUGCCGCCUCACAAGAGCCCCGGCCGCGCACAGCUCCCCGACUGUUCCCAUGGGCACGAGGGCUCAUCCAGCCUCUCCAGCCACGCCGGACAUCAACAGCCCCCAGCCAGCUGGAAAGGACCCAUCGCCCAGUGCUCGACCUGGGACAUCUCGUGAGAAGCACGAAACGCGUGUGACGACAGUCAUCAGAACGAUGACUUUUUAGUUUUAUUAGGACAAAAAGGAGGCCACUGAUGACCCCCAAGUCGAAUGCUGAAGUAUCAAGUUGUCUUGUUGGAGCAGGAUGAUGGGGAACUGCAAACUCCUUUGCCUUGCACCCAGCCACGUUCCUGGAAUCUGUACCAGAAAGUCAAGAAGCCUCACAACAUGCCUGUGUUCCAACGACUGAGCAGCUUCACUCCAGCAGAGGAGAUCCUCUGGUAGAAGAUCCGGCCUCGCAAUUGUCCACAGGUGGGAGCAGCUUUGUGAGCAAAGGAAAGCAGAAGUUUGGCUGUGCAGUAGGGCCCAAUCCAAGCCGUCCCAUUACCUCUUACCACCUCUGCACACAGGGCUGAGCUGCUCAGUCUAUGGCAGCCUGGAAUUGUCUCAGGGGAAGAAUGGGAACACAUGGGCUAAUGCUAACCGUGCCUUUGGAGCAGUACCUGCCCACGGAGCUCUCUGGAACAAAGGAGGGCUCCUUUCAGCACAAGGAUCCUCUGUCAAAGGUGGAGACAUUACCAGACAAUUACUAGAAAGUGUUCAGGUACCAGCCCAUGUGGCUCUCAUGCAUUGUAAAACUCAUCCAUUAGGAAAUACAUCAGUUAGUGUAGGAAACCGACUGGCAGAUAAAGCUGCUAAAGGGCUGGCAGAGAAAAGCAUCCUAAUAGUUGCUGCAGCAAAAUGUAUGACCUUUCAGAGGUAACCCCAGAAUAACAAGCCCAAGAUAAAACGCUGGCAAAAUUGAAUGGCCCUGGAUCUAAAAUAGUAUAAGUUUUGCCAAAAAGUUUUACUAAGUAUUUUAAUAGGAAUUAUUGCAUUUUAGUGUCUUAAGUCUUUCUAAAUAUCCAAUGAUUUAAGUGGAAGUAAUCCUAAAAGAAAUAAGGUCACUUAUAAAGGGGGGAUGUGUUGGAAAUGAUAUAACUUUCUAAUUUGAGAUUCCUAUUAUUUGUUUUCAUUAAGUCUGUUAAUAAUGGCUUCACUUAAUCAUUAGCAGUGCAGUUUUCCACUGGAGCAUGUAGCAAGACUUUAUACAAACUGCUAUUAAUGGAACACCAUUUGGGAAAAUCACUGAACUUUUAAGUUUUGCUAGAUAACCUUGACAUGAUUCAGUGAACAAAGAUUGGGGUAGAGAAAUGGGGCUGAGAACUGGACACCAGGAAUGCAGAAUUUGUAGAGUGUGAGGACAAGGUGUGGAAACCAGAGGUAAAGAAGAAAUGAACAAGGAGAAUUCUGCUCUUAGUGUCGUGAAAACAAUAUCUGGAAAAACACUACACAUAAUAAAAAGACUGAAAAGUGGACCAAUUAACAUUGUUAUCACAACCAGAAAGAAAUAAAUGCUUUAAUUUUCAUAUUAGGGAUUUUUU